rnacentral:tRNA from 1 species
CAAGACGUAGCUAUAAAUACAAAAGCAUUCAGCUUACACCYKRAAGAUAUCUCCACAAACGAGAUCGUCUUGA